rnacentral:rRNA from 1 species
UACAGAGGGCUCAAGCGUUGUUCGGAUUCAUUGGGCGUAAAAGGUGCGUAGGCGGCGCGGUAAGUCGGGUGUGAAAUCUCGGAGCUUAACUCCGAAACUGCAUUCGAUACUGCCGUGCUUGAGGACUGGAGAGGAGACUGGAAUUUACGGUGUAGCGGUGAAAUGCGUAGAUAUCGUAAGGAAGACCAGUGGCGAAGGCGGGUCUCUGGACAGUUCCUGACGCUGAGGCACGAAGGUCAGGGGAGCAAACGGG